GAUCCAGAAGGGGGUGGGCAGCUCUCCCACCAACUUUACUCACCAAAAUCUCCUUCAGAAACAUCCAGGUGGAGGAGAGCACUCGGCAUCGCUGUGUCCACACAUUCCAGGUCUGGAAUCUGCUCCGUUACUGCCCCGGCAGCACCAGGAUGGCCCUUCCAGCACCGGCCCUGCAAAGCAGGAGAGAGCAAACUGUGACAAGUGGCAGGGUGGCCCCAGCAGGGUGUCCCAGGUGACCCAGGACAUGGCCACGAGGAGGCUCCACAUGGCUCAGUUCCUGCGCAGGAAGGGCCCCAUUGCGAGCAAGGAGCAGUUUGUUGCAUGUGCCAGACAAAUGAUUUCCGAUGGGCAGGUGGUUGUUAAGUUUGGGAACAUCCUCGCCAAGCACUGCCUGGACCAGAGAUGCUCCAUGGAGCUGCUCCGUGCCACUGAGCACACCCAAUCCAUCAGCAGCCAGCUCGGCAUCGUGGCCAGGGUGAAAGCAGUGACUGGGGAGAGCAGGGCCUCCUCUGAGCUGCUGCUCAGCAACGUGCAGAACCUCCUUCAAGCAGUGCAGCACGUCCUGAGGGCGGCCGAGGCAGCGUGUGUCAAAGUGAGUCCAU
ensembl:lncRNA